rnacentral:lncRNA from 1 species
GGGACAUGACCCGCAGCCAAGCGAGUGGUGCAGACCACAAAGUCCCCUGGGAGUUUGGAGAGCCGGGGCCUUCUCCGGGGGAGGCAAUGGGAUGGCUGUCAGCUAGUGCUCAAGCCUCAGAGUGUGGCACGCCCCAAAGGCGAGGGUCUGACCCCGUAUCAGGGCAAAAAGCGCUGUUUCGGAGAGUACAAGUGUCCCAAGUGCAAGAGAAAAUGGAUGAGCGGGAACUCUUGGGCCAACAUGGGACAGGAGUGCAUCAAGUGCCACAUCAACGUGUACCCACACAAGCAGAGACCCCUGGAGAAGCCCGAUGGCCUGGACGUGUCUGACCAGAGCAAGGAGCACCCCCAGCACCUGUGCGAGAAGUGCAAGGUGCUGGGCUACUACUGCCGGCGCGUGCAAUGACCCGGCCGCCCACCAUGCCCCACCGCCCUCCUGCCAGCUGGAGAAGACGCAACCACCCUGCAUGUCCCCAAGUGUGCACAUGCAAGGGGGCAUCCUCAAAGGCUUACAGGUCUGGUGGGUGGGCUCUUAUGUUCUUGUAUGUUGACAAACAGUGUUAACUGACGUAGCUGCCGCCCCACAAGGCCCGCUCUCUGCGACUCUCUACAGGUGGGCCUGGGUCUGUGUGGAGGGGACAAGGUGAGCAGAGGUCAGCGCACAGGACCCCACAGAGCCUUCAGCGUCCCCUGCAGGCUCUCCUCUGAGACUCCCUUUUGGGUGAGCAGCCUUACAUUGGCCACAAGUGCACUAAAUUUACUGUGAAUCCCAGAGCCUGCAGGGGAUGGUCUCCCAAAACCAGCCAGGUGGCCUUCUCCCACCCAGAACCUUCCAGUUUGCCCUGUGUGAAAAGCCACUCUUGGAAAGCCCUAAUUUUCUAAGUCAGUGCUCAUGGCAAGCUGACUCCUGUUCUAGCAGCUGCUGGGGAGCGGGCAUCUCUGCCCCCUGCCACUUUGAGCCCCAAACCUGACUGCCUCUGAAGCCACUGGCAUUGCACCUGGGCCCCGCACAUCUCCCCUCCCCCUACACCCCAGAGGUCAGGGAUGGGGAGGCACUGAAUGUUGGACGGUGCUCCAGCGUGUGACCUGGGGCACAGAGGGCAACACCCCCUCCCCCACCACAGACUUCCCCCACGCGUUUGGAUUUUGCCAGCCCUAUCCCCUUCCCUUCUUCUUCCCCUCUCACCCAUGCUGGGGAGCCACACCCGGAAGGAGGCAAUAGGACCCAGCAGGGAAACCACUCUGGCAGGAAGGACCCAGGCCUGGCAGUCCAAAGACCUGGGUUUUAAUGCUGACCCCGCCACUGAUGCACUACAGAGCCUUGAGAAGGAUUCUCACCUCUGGGCCUCUGUUUCCCCACUAAGAGAAAGAGAGAGUGACACCAGAGAGGCCCAUUUCUGUCCUGAUGUUCUGGAAUUCUGCCUGGCUGGGUGCCAUCUCCUGGAGCAGAGAGCUUUAUUUGGAGAGUUUCCCCAGGCUCCCUACCCAUCCCCUUCCCACUAUCACCCAUCAGUCAGUCACUUAAGAAAUCAGGUGGAGGGAUGCAGGUCCUCCCCUGUUGCCCCCUGCAACCCCAGCCAUGUCUUUUGUCCCCUACCCUGCAAACGUGAAGGAGAAAGGUCUCCCCCUCCUUACAGGGCAACCCCAAGACACGCUACAGAACCUCUGGUUUGCAAAGUGGGGACAAUGAUUCCUACCUCCCGAGGGGGCGGAGAGGCCUCCUGGCACUCACACUGGACAGGCCUGCCGAUGCUGUCCUGGCUAGUGGGAAGGAUUGCCUUCCUCUCUGCUCUCUCCCCCAUGAGAAGCCCUAUUUGCUUUGUCAUAUUACCCUUCCUUUCUCCCAGGGCUGGGUCCUUUGAUGUUGCCCCAACAUUAUGCCUCUGUGGGAAAAAAAAAAAAAAAAAAAAAAA